rnacentral:misc_RNA from 1 species
UAUCUUUUUUUUUUUUUUUUUUUAGUAUUUUUUUUUUUUUUUUUAGGAUUUAGUAGGAUUAAUUAUUGUACUAUAAAUUUCAAGGUAUUUUUGGUAGACCUUUUCUAUGAUUGACAAUUGAUUAACGCUUCCUUAGUGUUUUUUUGUUUUUUUUUUUUUUAGGGAUUUAGUAGGAUAAAUUAUUCUACUAUAAAUUUCAAGGAAUUUUGGCAGACCUUUUCGAUGAUUGACAAUUGAUUACAUAAUUAAAAAAAUUGAGAAUUUGUUUCUCUUCCCCAUUUGUUCUAUUGGUUCUACAUCAAUAUGAAACAACACAUCGAAUCUAGUGGUAGCUACCAAAUACUUAUAGCGGCUCAUUGUCCAACAACUAACUACUACUCAUCAAAAGCUUAACCUAAUGGACACAUAUCAUGCAACAAGAAAGAUAGAAAACAAAUAUUAUGCAACAAGAAUGAGAGAAAACAAAUAUUUUAAAAUUUGAAAGAUAUUUUUGAAUGGUUUUAACUAGUAGAAAAUGAUUUCAAAUACAAUGUUAUACUGAAAGUAUAAGAAAUUUGAAUGGUGACCCAUUAAAAAUAAUAGUAAUAAUAAUAAAAAAAAAAUCAGCAUGCUGAUGGUAGUGUCGUUCAAGAGAGGUUCCCAUGUAAUCUUGUUGUUUACCCCUUUUUGUUGUUUACCCAUAUGGUACAAGGGAGCAUUAUGGCUUAAAACUUAUGAUUUCUUCCCUAAUCCCUACCAUCGCAACCACUAGAGCUUAGCCCAGGCGACAGAAGUUAUCCAGGCAAUAUAACAACCCAGUGGCAAGCAAAUAAGCAAUAAAUUCAAAUAGAAACAUGAAAUCAAUGCAGAAGAGAUGAUCACACAGGCAAUGUCUUGAAGAACAUGCUGACAUCGACAUCAAUACUACGCACUUAGUCAAUCAACGAUUUUUUUACAGUGAGGCAAGCAAACAAGUUAUACCUGCAUUGGCACAUAGAAAAAUGAGGGAAACUGAAGUACCUGUUAGGUGAAUCUGAAGUAUCAACAUCAUCAACAUCAAAAGGACAUGAGAAGUCACCAUCAUCUAGGUCAUCUUGGAAAGAUAAUCUACUAGAACUUCUUGAAAAUCCAAUAUGUGGUGAGCCACUAGAAGAUAACAGUCCAGAGAAGCGUCCAGAAUCAUCUUUGCCAUCUUUGAGAAUCUUGUGACCAGAAUAAUGACUCGCUAUGCCAGAGUUUAACUCUCCAGCCCUCAAAGCUUCUGGUUUCCUAAUUGAACGGAUUCCAGAUGGAGACUCCUGUGAUGAAGGAUCAUGUCUCGUGCUUUUAGGAGAUAAAGGUGGAAGUGAAUUUUUACUUGGGUCAGAAAAGUUUGGAGAAAGGUAUCUAGAACUUCUACCUGACUUUGGAAAGGGGAUAGUUACAGGGGCAGUUUCUGAAGUAAUACGAGUUUGCAAAGGACUACCACUGGAGAAGUAUGUCGGAGUGGAAGGAGACAUAGAUGGUGAGAAUGGAGGUGAAAGCUCAUACUCAUCAUUACCAGUAGCCCUUUGGUGAGUUGGUGGUCUACAGCUUUGUAUUCUGUGACCAUAAGUACCUGAUGGAGUAUGUGGAAAAUUAUAUGGCAUGGGAGAUGUUCGGUAUGCAGGAGGAGAUCCACCAAGGGAUUGGUUUGCCAUAAAAGGGGCAGCUCUGUGAAAGCCACUUGUCCAGCUAUGUGGGCGUUGAAAAGGAGUAGAAAUAAGCGGCCGUAUUCCCUUCAGUGGAAAGGAUGUAGCACGAUCUCCCCUAUCUGAAGAAGGAAAAGACCUCAGAGGGUCAGUGGUAGGGCUACCAACAUAAUCUGUUAUAAUCUUGGGUGGGAAUGUUGCCAAAGGCUCAAGGUUAAAAUCAGAUAGUGAUGGACGGAAAGUCACAGAUAAAGAAAGGUGGCCAGGAAGGGCCUCUACAGGCAUAAAACUAUAUUCUUUCAUCAUUUCCUCCUCUGACCAAGAGAAAGGUUCACAAAAUGAAGAAACCUUGUAAAUUAUAUCAAAAUUAUAGGUUUGACUAGAAGAGCUUAGCUGCCGAAAGAUCCGAUGAGCCGGUAGAAGCCUCAAUUGCGAAUAAAGGGAACGGAGAAGUAUGGUUGACUUCUUAUAUGUCUUCUUGCAAGAGGCAGAACUUUCCCCAGUUUGGGGAGCCAUAACCCGUUGGGUGUUAUACUGAACUAUCCACCUUUCCAUAACUGUCUCAAUAGGUGUCCUAUCAGCCAUAGAAGAGUAUAGAUCGUCCACUGAUGAAGAGGUAGUCCCCCGGCGAACAAGUAUUAUGUCAAUUAUCAUGGGGUCCAUUACAUUUCUUUGCCAAAAAUUCAAGUUAUCUAAGGCUGCUGGACGAUCUCCUAGAACUAAAUUGAACCAUUUGUCACUCUUUCUCACCCGAGAACUGGAUUGAAAAUCACCACUACGAUCAUGCGGAUGAAGAGAAGGAAUUCUAGAGUCCAAAAUAAUAUGCAAGCUCUUCAACAGAAACUGGGAAAUAAUUUGUUCCAAUCUUCCAGAUUCGGGAUGAGAAUUGUUGUGCAAAUCCAUUGUUCUAAUACAGAGAAGACCUCUGAAGCUACAAAUUCUGAUCCAUUACAUGAUGAUCAAUCCAGCACAGACAAAGCUGCUCUCUUCCUUAGGUUAGUCAUAAGCCAAGUGAUGAAUUUUGAAAGAUUCUUUGGAUGAAAAAGCAACUAUAGAUAUGGCAGGAUAAUAAAAAAGCCAAGGCAUAAACAGGCAAAUAACAGAAGGUCCUUUUAAUCAAUCUCGGAAAUGGGGAUCGUGUAGCCGCAGAAUCCUUGAAAGAGGCAGCCCCAAAGUAAAAUCAAAAUUAGAGACCAAAAUAAACAAUUUCCAGAUCGAGAAAUCAAAGCUUGAUAGGCAUUAGAUGAUCUAAAACCCAGAACCUGAAUUAGAAAAGAAGAAACGAUGAAGCUACUGAAUUCAGGGGUUUGCAAUUGCAAGCCAAGCGAAAGAGAGACGUAAAAGGAUUAAACACAUCAUCAACUCCAGCUAAAGUAUAGCGUGGAGGACAAAGCGACUCUAAUUUCUUGUGCAUCAGUAGAACGAAUUCCGUCCAGUUUUAGCAUCAAAAGAUAACAACAAAAAAAGCUGCUCCACUCUUCCAUUGAUCUCAUACCCAAAACUUCCUCUCUCUCUCUCUGCCCCCUAUAAUGUAUGAUUACUCGGUAAUAAAUAUUUUAGACUCUCAUAUCAGCAAUCGAUCAUCGUUUUUGUUGUAUUUUUGUCUACCGGCCAUUGAGUUAGGCCUUAUAUCUUUGCCCACACAGUAAAAUAACAAGUUUUCUUUCUUAGGUAGGCGAAAUGAGAAGAAAUUGAAGAGGAGAAAG